AGAAACUUCCACCCAGGUGUGUGCCCACUGUGUGACCACAACACAGAGCUUGUGAGCCAGCCAUGCCCAAAGAGCUUUCCCCCACAGGACCAUGCAGACCAGCUCAUUAUCUCUGUGGCCUCCCAGCUGAAAUGUCAGUGGAGAACCCAGCUAUGCAGAAUGGCUUUCAAAAUACUGCAAUUGUGUAAUAAAUCAAGGAGCUAACUAGUGAAAGGGUCUGUGGCCAUCUUCUUAGCAGUGGAGAGGCAGGCAAGGCUGGCGUUGCAGUUGGAAGGCUGUCUCCAUGGGCUGGGACAACUCCUGCUGGAACAGAGCACUGGAGAUCUGUGGAUAUCGGCAAGGUGCAUGCUGUAAUUGCCAGAGGAGCGGUGGGAGCUCUCACAGGUAGAUGAAGCAAACGCCGAGGUGCUGCAGCUGUGAGCAGGAGGAAAAUUAAGCUGUGAACUGGAAUUCCAUCAGGCUGUCUACUGUGAAGCCCUGUGGCUUUAGCAAAGGGGCAGCAGUGGUCAGAAAUGACACCCAAAAGAAAAUGACAUGGAAUUCACAGUGGACUUCCUACUCCUGUGAAAGAAAGGGAGAAGAUGCUUUUGCUUCACACAAUCUUCACAUCUAAAGAGGUUGCUGCUGUUAAGCACUUCCGCAACUUAGACACACAAAGAAAUGGGAACCCUUUGCAGCCAGUAGUGGAACAUGAGCGUGGACCCUUCAGGCUUUGUCUGAUUUCUUCCUGUUUCUCUGACAUGUUGCUAAAUCAUGGCAAUGGAAGAGCUCAUCUCCAGGCUGCCAAACCCAUGCUGCCUUCCAGGGACAAUCCCAGCAGCUCAUGUUCUGAAAAAGGCGUAAACCAGUGACAGGGAAAGCAGUUGUGCCUGCUGGGAACGGAGUCUGCCUCACGCCAGUGCCACCACUCCUGAGAGGCCAAGUCAUCGGCACGCGGAGCCCACACUGCAAAUCCCCGUGCCUGCUGGUCUUAAGACACAUUCAGAUGCAAAUUGCAUUAGCAGAUUUUGACCUCAAGACUAAGCCACGUUACAUGUGUGAAAGGCCCAGCAUCUCUGCUCUGAUCCGCAGCACCGCUCCUGCAUACUGACAUGUAGAAAGAAAGAAGUUUUACCUCCCCACCAGCGGAGGGAUGUGUCUAGACUUUAACAAGGAAUGGGAAACGUGACCCAAGCAAAUGCCAUAUCGCUCACUAGAGGAGGAGCCUCAGAGGUGGAGAGCCCAGAAGAGCCGCUGACGGCCCCCUGGGAAUGCCUUCAUUUGCUGGCCACGUUCUGUCCCUUGAUGCACGUUAAAGGCUGUUGGCAACCGGGGGGACACCUGAGCCAAGGUGAGCUGGUGAAGGAAUCUUCAACUCGUUGAGAUAACUCUUAAAUUUUAAUCAGCACACUCUUGUUUGCUGCCAAAAAUAAUUUAGAUGAUGAAUAAAUGCAUGUGGAGUGCAUGCAUGGCUGUAAUUCAGCCAUGGUCACAAACUUUGCCAAUAAUGCAUGCAGCAGAAAAAAAAUUAUUUAUUACCUUUAGCAUGCGGUAAUAAGUCUUGUUUUCUCAAGCUAGAGUCCAGUUUGAGCUAGGCUGAAAGGCUGGCAAAGGUAUGGGGAGGAAAUUAAUGUUUACUGGUAGGUACCAAAGCAGCGAUGAGCUCAGCAAGGCAACGCUGGAUGUCAUCAGAGCCGCUGGGGGAACCUGACUGCCCUCGUGCUUCCUGAACUGCUCUAUCUGGAAACCAGUGGAAGGUCCUGUGAUGAGCUGCUGGCACAAGCAGACCCCGGGCAGGUUGGGAGGGGAGGGCUGGGGACUCUGCCCCUCCCCGGGACACCCAGCAGAGCCACUGGGCUGCAGUGACAGCAGCGAGCAUGAGGUGGGCGCGAGGCACCAGGCCCAGCACAGCGCCAGGCAUGCUGAAGGCAUCAGCUCACAAGCUCUGCGUGUGCCAACAGCGGCUCGUCCUGUUCCUUAAAGGGCUUCUUCCAGCCACAUUCAGUACUUGCCCACAUUAAGUCAGUGUGGGGUUGUGGCACUGGGUGCUCUGGAGCCCGGAGCUCGAGGGCUCAGCAGGUAAGAAGUGAGAGCUCAGGUUUGGGGCAACAAUGCAGGGAAACCAGCAAACCAGCCCAAAGGCUAAGCCUGGGUUUGGGGCCAUCUCUGGUGCAUCAGUAAUCCCCUGGUCACCCUGGCGGUGCAAAUACAGCAUGGCACAGUGGUGCCAAACUUGCUCACUAGCUUUACUCAGUGUGCAUCGAACCAAAAGAGAAAUUGGAAAACAAAUUUGUAACAAAUUAACCUUAAAUAAAACAGAAACGUGGGGCUCAAUGUCAUGUUUUUCUAGUGACUAGUACAUGUAAAACAACAAAAAUACAGUUUGCAAGUCAAGAAAAGCAGCGGCCUGACCAGCUGCCUUUGGCUGGCAUGGGGAUGGAGAUGGGUGAGUGUCUGUACAUUAGAAGAAGGUGUUGACUUGAGUAUUUUGACUUUUCUUUUUUUUUUUUUUAAGGGAGAUUGCUGCUUACAAAAUGACUCAAUAUGUAUAUCUAUCAACCCAUAAAGAUAUCUGCAGAUAUGCAUGAAUACACCUGUAUGCAGAAUGCAGAGCUUUUUCUGUUUCAAACAUUUUUUAUCUAGACCACAUUAAAAGAUGUUCUCCUAAGGGAAAAUGUUUCCUAAUUUCUGCUCCAUUUCAGGUGAAGACAAGUGGAAGUCUUUUACUUCAGGCAACUGAAGCAAACAAAAAAUAAAUACACACACACACACAUAUAUAUUUGACAAACUCUGUUUUUUUUUAUGGGACAGGAAACCAAGGAGCCUUAUAUUACAGCAUUCAGAAAUUGCUUCUGGAUGACAGCACUCUUAUUCGCUAAAUACAUACCUUUGAUACAAAAUACUGACCUGCUGGAAAUGGUUUCACAGAAAGCACGAAGGACGCAGAACUGCCUUGCUCGACAGAGUUACAGAAGGGAGGAAUGAAUAAUCCUGGCAGAUGGGCACUGGUGGGGCUGGAAUGAGCCAGGAUGAAACCACCAUCAUGGAAAUGAGUUAAGCUCCUGCAGAAACUUGCGUUCAUGGGUGUUGCCCAGAAGAAGAAUUUCCUACUUCUGGUCCAAAAUGGGGAAAUUCUUAGGCGUAAAAUCCAGCUCAGCUGUGACCCGUAAAGGACCUCAUGCUGCUGAUACUGUGUCAGGCAGUCAAGUUACAUGACUUAACUGCAGAAAGUAAUGGAUAUACAUUUUUUUGUUUGUUUGUUUUUAACUCAGUAAAUAUGUUUAAAUGUAUGAAGGUACUCAGAACAUUUUCAGUCCUAUUUAAAAUGUGUGAAAAUUCACAUUUUUUAAAUUGAAAUAUUCAAGUUGAUGCAAAACCUUUGCAGUGUCCACAAAGGCAGGCAAACGCAGCGAUGGGACCGCACGAUGGACUGUUUGUGUGGGCAUGUGAACGUGAGACCACAAGCAGUGAAGUCACACAGGCAAACAUUCAGGUUUCAUUGUGAAACCACAGACACAACAGAAAUUGCUCUUCUCACACCGUGCAGCUGGGCUCGUGCUAGGAUAGCGCUGGCCCAGCUGGGGGCAGAAAGGCAGACCUGCAGAACAGCCAGGGGGGAGCAGCUCGUUGCCAUCCUGAGGAUUAGGUUCAUGGGUGCCCACUUGAGAAGAGCCCCAGCCCCAGCAAUAAGAGCUCCUUCUGCCUGCCAGGGCCUUUAGGAACGUUUCUGCCGGGCUUUGUGAGGGCAGGGAGUGCUGUGUGGGUGCAAGGUAUGUGAAAGGACAUGUGGAUGUGCUGCGCUGUUGCACUUGGACUUUGUCUACAACUCAGACCAAGGUGCUGCACCUUUUUUCUACAAGGAAAAGGUGAUAUCGUAUCACUGAUGAGAACGAAGUAUUUUUAACUAUCUCUGCUUGUGCCCUUAAUUGUGGGUAGCUCCUAACAAGGGCUCAGAUCAGCAUACCUGGACACCAGCACUCACGUGUGUGUAAACAGGCCCCAACAGAAGGUCUAGAAACAUGGCUGAACCUGGCAGAGGCCCUGGAGGAUUCAGACCCCCUGUUUGCUGUUAAACACCCAAGCAGCGUGUAGCUCUGCUCUUGCAUCUUUGCCUGUGUUGCACUGCUCAGACCCAGCUUGCUGACCUACCUCA